rnacentral:rRNA from 1 species
AUACGUAGGGGGCGAGCGUUGUCCGGAAUGAUUGGGCGUAAAGGGCGCGUAGGCGGCCCGGUAAGUCUGGAGUGAAAGUCCUGUUUUUAAGAUGGGAAUUGCUUUGGAUACUGUCGGGCUUGAGUGCAGGAGAGGUAAGUGGAAUUCCCAGUGUAGCGGUGAAAUGCGUAGAGAUUGGGAGGAGCACCAGUGGCGAAGGCGACUUACUGGACUGUAACUGACGCUGAGGCGCGAAAGUGUGGGGAGCGAACAGGAUUAGAUACCCUGGUAGUCCACACCGUAAACGAUGAAUGCUAGGUGUAGGGGGUAUCGACCCCUUCUGUGCCGCAGUCAACACAAUAAGCAUUCCGUCUGGGGAGUACGGCCGCAAGGUUGAAACUCAAAGGAAUUGACGGGG